rnacentral:rRNA from 1 species
CACGUAGGGGGCAAGCGUUGUCCGGAUUUAUUGGGCGUAAAGAGCUCGUAGGCGGCUCAGUAAGUCGGGUGUGAAACCUCCAGGCUCAACCUGGAGACGCCACCCGAUACUGCUGUGGCUUGAGUCCGGUAGGGGAGCGUGGAAUUCCUGGUGUAGCGGUGAAAUGCGCAGAUAUCAGGAGGAACACCAGCGGCGAAGGCGGCGCUCUGGGCCGGUACUGACACUGAUGCGCGAAAGCGUGGGGAGCAAACGGG